GUACAGUGCCCUGAUCGACGUGAAGCUGGACUCCGUGGACGGGCAGCGAGCACUGCUUACCUCCAACGAGUGGUAUGACAACGGUCUGUUCAUUGAUG
rnacentral:SRP_RNA from 11 species